UGGCUCAGAACGAACGCUGGCGGCAUGCUUUACACAUGCAAGUCGAACGGCAGCAUAGGUGCUUGCACCUGAUGGCGAGUGGCGAACGGGUGAGUAAUACAUCGGAACGUGCCCAGUCGUGGGGGAUAACGUAGCGAAAGUUACGCUAAUACCGCAUACGAUCUACGGAUGAAAGCGGGGGACUCGCAAGGGCCUCGCGCGAUUGGAGCGGCCGAUAUCAGAUUAGCUAGUUGGUGAGGUAAAGGCUCAGCAAAACGACGAUCUGUAGCUGGUCUGAGAGGACGACCAGCCAC
rnacentral:rRNA from 1 species